rnacentral:rRNA from 1 species
AUUGAACGCUGGCGGCAGGCCUAACACAUGCAAGUCGAACGAGUGGCGGAGGGGUGAGUAAUGUAUGGGAAACUGCCCGAUGGUGGGGGAUAACUACUGGAAACGGUAGUUACUACCACAUAGCCUCGGCUGUGCCCAGAUGGGUUUAGCUAGUAGGUGGGGUAACGGCGCACCUAGGCGACGAUCCCUAGCUGGUCUGAGAGGAUGACCAGCCACACUGGAACUGAGACACGGGCCAGACUCCUACGGGAGGCAGCAGUGGGGAAUAUUGCACAAUGGGCGCAAGCCUGAUGCAGCCAUGCCGCGUGUAUGAAGAAGGCCUUCGGGUUGUAAAGUACUUUCAGCGAGGAGGCGUUACGCGCAGAAGAAGCACCGGCUAACUCCGUGCCAGCCGCCGCGGUAAUAC